rnacentral:tRNA from 1 species
GGUGUUUCGUAACUCAGUUGGUUAGAGCACUUCAUUGACAUUGAAGAGGACAUGGUUUCGAAUCCCAUUAAAGACACCU